UUGACCUCGGAUCAGGUAGGAAUACCCGCUGAACUUAAGCAUAUCAAUAAGCGGAGGAAAAGAAACCAACAGGGAUUGCCCUAGUAACGGCGAGUGAAGCGGCAACAGCUCAAAUUUGAAAUCUGGCUUUCGGGUCCGAGUUGUAAUUUGCAGAGGAUGCUUUUGGCGAGGUGCCUUCCGAGUUCCCUGGAACGGGACGCCUUAGAGGGUGAGAGCCCCGUACGGUUGGACACCGAGCCUCUGUAAAGCUCCUUCGACGAGUCGAGUAGUUUGGGAAUGCUGCUCUAAAUGGGAGGUAAAUUUCUUCUAAAGCUAAAUACCGGCCAGAGACCGAUAGCGCACAAGUAGAGUGAUCGAAAGAUGAAAAGCACUUUGAAAAGAGGGUUAAAUAGCACGUGAAAUUGUUGAAAGGGAAGCGUUUACGGCCAGACCUUCUCCUGGCGGAUCAUCUGGUGUUCUCACCAGUGCACUUCGCCAGGUCUAGGCCAGCAUCGGCUUCCGUAGGGGGAUAAAAGCAGUGGGAAAGUAGCUCCCUAGGGAGUGUUAUAGCCCUAAGCAUAAUACCCUUACGGGGGCCGAGGACCGCGCUCUGCAAGGA
rnacentral:rRNA from 1 species